rnacentral:rRNA from 1 species
UACGAGUGCCCCGAGCGUUAUCCGGAAUCAUUGGGCGUAAAGGGUGUGUAGGUGGCAGUGUUAGUCGGUUGUUAAAACCUGGGGCUUAACCCCAGAUCCGCGACCGAAACGGCACAGCUAGAGGAUGGCAGGGAUCUGUGGAACUCAUGGAGUAGGGGUGAAAUCCGUUGAUAUCAUGGGGAACACCGAAAGCGAAGGCAGCAGAUUGGGCCACUCCUGACACUGAAACACGAAAGCGUGGGUAGCGAAUGGG